rnacentral:rRNA from 1 species
UAGGGAAUCUUGCGCAAUGGGCGAAAGCCUGACGCAGCCAUGCCGCGUGGAUGAUGAAGGUCUUAGGAUUGUAAAAUUCUUUCACCGGGGACGAUAAUGACGGUACCCGGAGAAGAAGCCCCGGCUAACUUCGUG